CUUUUCGAGGUAGGAGUCGACUCCUGUGAGGUAUGGUGCUGGGUGCAGAUGCAGUGUGGCUCUGGAUAGCACCUUAUGGACAGUUGUGUCCCCAAGGAAGGAUGAGAAUAGCUACUGAAGUCCUAAAGAGCAAGCCUAACUCAAGCCAUUGGCACACAGGCAUUAGACAGAAAGCUGGAAGUUGAAAUGGUGGAGUCCAACUUGCCUGGACCAGCUUAAUGGUUCUGCUCCUGGUAACGUUUUUAUCCAUGGAUGACUUGCUUGGGGUUUUUAAUGACCACAACAAGCAAGCAUGCAGCUUACUGCUUGAAAGACAGGGUCUUGCCUCACCCAAGCUAGAGUGCAGUGGCCUUUGAAGCUUACUACAGCCUCAAACUUCUGGGCUCAAGUGAUCCUCAGCCUCCCAGUGGUCUUUGUAGACUGCCUGAUGGAGUCUCAUGGCACAAGAAGAUUAAAACAGUGUCUCCAAUUUUAAUAAAUUUUUGCAAUCCA
rnacentral:lncRNA from 1 species